GGAUGAACGCUAGCGGCGUGUUUAAGAUAUGCAAGUCGAACGACCUUUCCAGCUUGCUGGAAAGAAAGUGGCAGACGGCUGAGUAACACGUAGGAAUCUACCUCUUGGUAAAGAAUAGCUCCGGGAAACCGGGGGUAAUGCUUUAUAGUUCCGCAAGGAUAAAGGGCGUAACUGCUCGCCGAGAGAGGAGCCUGCGGCUUAUCAGGUUGUUGGUAGGGUAACGGCCUACCAAGCCUAUGACGAGUAGCUGACCUUAUGAGGGUGAUCAGCCAGAGGAGCACUGAGACACGGGCUCCACAUCUACGGAUGGCAGCAAUCAAGGAUCGUUGGCAAUGGGCGAAAGCCUGACCACGCGACGCCGCGUGCGGGAAGAAGCCUUUCGGGGUGUAAACCGCUGUGGUAGGGGAAGAAGCCUCGAUUAUGUCGGGGUUGACGGUACCCUACUAGAAAGUAGCCGCUAACUUCGUGCCAGAAGCGUCGGUGAUACGGGGGCUACAAGCGUUAUCCGGUGUGACUGGGUGUAAAGGGUCUGUAGGCAAUCCAUCAAGUCCUGCCUUAAAGACCCCGAUUCAAUCGGGGAAAUGGGUAGGAAACUGAUGGAAUAGAGUUUUCUCAAGGGAAAUCGGAAUUGACGGAGGAGUAGUGAAAUGCGUUGAUACCGUCAAGAACACCAAUGGCGAAGUCAGAUUUCUAGGAGUUAACUGACGCUGAGAGACGAAAGCUAGGGGAGCGAACCGGAUUAGAGACCCGGGUAGUCCUAGCCCUAAACGAUGCUCGCUAGUUGCAUUUCCCCCUGAUUUAUUUCGGGGAGAGGUGUGGCGAAGCUAACGCGUUAAGCGAGCCACCUGGGGAGUACGACCGCAAGGUUGAAACUCAAAGGAAUUGGCGGGGAGACACACAACUAGUGGAACAUGUGGUUUAAUUCGAGACAAACCGAAGAACCUCACCAGGGCUUGACAUCCCAAUGACGUCCCGGUGAAAAUCGGGAUUUCUUCGGACAUUGGAACAGCUGUUGCAUGGCUGUCGUCAGUUCGUUCCGUGAGGAGUGCCCUUAAGUGGGACAACGAACGUAACCCUUGUCCCGAGUUACACGUAUCUCGGGAGACUGCCUGCGCUUAGCGCGGGAGGAAGGAGAGGCGGACGUCAAGUCAGCAUGACGCUUAUGCUCUGGGCCACACACAUGUUACAAUGAGGUGGACAAUGGGUUGCAAAGCGGUAACGUGGAGCUAAUCCCACAAACCACCUCCCAGUGGGGAUUGAGGUCUGAAACUCGACCUCAUGAACGCGGAAUUAGUAGUAAUCGCGGGUCAGCUAUACCGC
rnacentral:rRNA from 1 species